UGCUCAGACAUGCAAUCGAACGCGAAAGGCCCUUCGGGGGCCGAGUAGAGUGGCGCACGGGUGAGUAACACGUAGGUAAUUUGCCUUCGGGUGGGGAAUAACAGCUGGAAACGGCUGCUAAUACCGCAUAAUGCAGCGGCUCGACAUCGAGACAGUUGUUAAAGCGGGGGAUCGCAACACCUCGCGCCUGAAGAGAAGCCUGCGGCAGAUUAGCUAGUUGGUAGGGUAAUGGCCUACCAAGGCGACGAUCUGUAACCGGCCUGAGAGGGCGGUCGGUCACACUGACACUGACAUACGGGUCAGACUCCUACGGGAGGCAGCAGUCGGGAAUUUUGGGCCAAUGGGCGAAACCUGACCCAGCCAACGCCGCGUGAAGGAUGAAAUCCCUCGGGAUGUAAACUUCGCAAGACUGGGAAGAAUAAGUGCGGGCUAACACCACGCACGAUGGCGGUACCAUUUGCAAUCUCCGGCUAACUCCGUUCCAACAGCCGCGAUAAUACGGGGGGAGCAAGCGUUGUUCGGAUUUACUGGGCGUAAAGGGCGCGUAGGCGCCCACGACAAGUCACUUGUGAAAUCUCCGGGCUUAACUCGGAACGGUCCCCUGAUACUGUCGGGCUAGAGUGCAGAAGGGCCAACUGGAAUUCUCGGUGUAGCGGUGAAAUGCGUAGAUAUCGAGAGGAACACCUGCGCCGAAGCGGUUGCUGGCUGACACUGACGGUGAG
rnacentral:rRNA from 1 species